rnacentral:misc_RNA from 1 species
CAGGACUCGCAAAGACUCCUAACAACCCCUGUGAAACUUCACUACAAGCACGUUGCUUUCGGCGGGUGUCUCGGCGGAAGGGUCCCCACUGGGGAACCUGCGCAGGGGCGCGAAAGACCCGCCGGCAGCCUACUAUAACUCUGUCUCUUUUGCGUUGGCAUCAUCGAGGAAAAAAGCAAAACAAGUUAA